rnacentral:rRNA from 1 species
UACGUAGGGUGCAAGCGUUAAUCGGAAUUACUGGGCGUAAAGCGUGCGCAGGCGGUUUUGUAAGUCUGUCGUGAAAGCCCCGGGCUCAACCUGGGAAUUGCGAUGGAGACUGCAAGGCUUGAAUCUGGCAGAGGGGGGUAGAAUUCCACGUGUAGCAGUGAAAUGCGUAGAGAUGUGGAGGAAAACCGAUGGCGAAGGCAGCCCCCUGGGUCAAGAUUGACGCUCAUGCACGAAAGCGUGGGGAGCAAACAGG